GGCAUUUAUACAUUUUAAAUAUAUGGUCAUACAUUCUGAGACCUUGAGACCCCUAAAUCAUUCUGCAGCAAUGGGGCUCUGGUAAUACGUCUGAACUUUAAAGAUUCUCAUUAUUUCAUCCCCAAUUAUUCUCCAUGGCAUUGACUUGAAAUCUCUCUGGGUUCACUGAACAGAUAAACACUGACACAUAAUGAAAAAUGUUUCCAGUAAACAAAUAAUCACUAGUCAUAUCUCAUACAAAUAAUUAUAUUGUACACCACCUAUAUUUUACAUUCCUUAACGGACAUGGUUGGCUGGGAAUGUUGGUAAAUGCAACGUAUUAAUGUGUAGUGCCUGGACAAGCAAUCUAUUCAGAACCAAUCCACAGUCUAUCCGCAGACCCAUCUCCUGUCAAGCGUUCACAAUCUUACGGAUCUUUACAAUGAAAUAUAACAGAGGGAGCUUAUACCCUCCUGAGAAAUGCUGUAUGAUUUC